ACCUACUGUGGUGUAGUUGGUAGCACCUCAGGUUAGUAAUUACAAGUCCUAGGUUCAAGUCCCAGUCGGGGUA